rnacentral:rRNA from 1 species
GACGAACGCUGGCGGCGCGCCUAACACAUGCAAGUCGAACGGGAUCUUUUGGGAGCUUGCUCCUGGCUGAUCUAGUGGCGGACGGGUGAGUAACACGUGAGCAACCUGCCGAGGAGUGGGGGAUAACGUUUGGAAACGAACGCUAAUACCGCAUAAUACAUCAGAGGGGCAUCCCUUUGGUGUCAAAGGAGAAAUCCGCUCUUUGAUGGGCUCGCGCCCGAUUAGGUAGUUGGUGGGGUAAUGGCCCACCAAGCCAACGAUCGGUAGCCGGACUGAGAGGUUGAACGGCCACAUUGGGACUGAGACACGGCCCAGACUCCUACGGGAGGCAGCAGUGGGGAAUAUUGCACAAUGGGGGAAACCCUGAUGCAGCGACGCCGCGUGAGUGAAGACGGCCUUCGGGUUGUAAAGCUCUGUUGACGGGGACGAUAAUGACGGUACCCGUUCAGAAAGCCACGGCUAACUACGUGCCAGCCGCCGCCGUAAUAC